UGUCACAGCAAGCUGUGACAGACUGGGUCCCUCCCAAGGAGCUGGCAAAUAUGUGCUGUUUGGAAAACAGCAGAAGGUGAUGCAGGACCCUGAAAUGGGACCAGCGAGGUUUGGGUGCGAUGCUAGCAGCACACCGAGAACCUGGACCCGAGCAAAGGCUCCCACUUGCUGGGGAGCUUUUCUCUCCUCAGUGUUGCACGUACAAACGUAGCAAGGCAAAGUUAUCAUCAGCACACCCGCCUCAGCCUUCCCCCAUUGAGUGUACUGUAGCAAAGGGGCUAAAUCGAUCGUGAGGACAGUGGACCGUCAUUAAGGUGGAGCAGCCUCAAGUCUCUCGAUUAAGACUUCACCAGUGAAAAGUUACUGUAUUUUUAUGAUUAAACUUUUUA